GAUGAAGAACGCAGGCGAAAUGCGAUAAGUAGUGUGAAUUGCAGAAUUCAGUGAAUCAUCGAAUCUUUGAACGCACAUUGCGCCUCCUGGUAUUCCGGGAGGCAUGCCUGUUCGAGCGUCAUUAACAACCACUCAAGCUCUUUUGCUUGGUCAUGGUAGAUGAGUGUGCUUUGUGCACUCACCUCCGAAUUACAUUGGCGGAAAGCCCCAUGUGCCCCGGCGUAGUAAGUUUUCUUUCGCUUGGACUGUGAGGUGAUCCUGCCACAAACCCCCAAUUUUUCUAGGUUGACCUCGGAUCAGGUAGGGAUACCCGCUGAACUUAAGCAUAUCAAUAAGCGGAGGA
rnacentral:misc_RNA from 1 species